GCUCUAGUAGAUUAAUCAUAAAGCACCGGUCUUGUAAUCCGGAGAUUGAGGACUAAAUCCCCUCCUAGUGCC
rnacentral:tRNA from 1 species